rnacentral:misc_RNA from 1 species
GAAAUGCGAUAAGUAGUGUGAAUUGCAGAAUUCAGUGAAUCAUCGAAUCUUUGAACGCACAUUGCGCCCUUCGGUAUUCCGUUGGGCAUGCCUGUUCGAGCGUCAUUUAACCCUUCAAGCUUCUGCUUGGUGUUGGGCGUUUGUUCCGCCUCCGCGCGUGGACUCGCCUCAAAUUUAUUGGCAGCCGGUAAGUUGGCUUCGUGCGCAGCACAUUGCGUCGCGUCUCCAGCCUGCCCCCUUCCAACAAGCCUUUAUUAUCACUUUGACCUCGGAUCAGGUAGGGAUACCCGCUGAACUUAA